UGGGGAAUUUUGGACAAUGGGCGAAAGCCUGAUCCAGCAAUGCCGCGUGUGUGAAGAAGGCCUUCGGGUUGUAAAGCACUUUUGUCCGGAAAGAAAUCCUUGGCUCUAAUACAGUCGGGGGAUGACGGUACCGGAAGAAUAAGCACCGGCUAACUACGUGCCAGCAGCCGCGGUAAUACGUAGGGUGCAAGCGUUAAUCGGAAUUACUGGGCGUAAAGCGUGCGCAGGCGGUUUGCUAAGACCGAUGUGAAAUCCCCGGGCUCAACCCGGGAACUGCAUUGGUGACUGGCAGGCUAGAGUAUGGCAGAGGGGGGUAGAAUUCCACGUGUAGCAGUGAAAUGCGUAGAGAUGUGGAGGAAUACCGAUGGCGAAGGCAGCCCCCUGGGCCAAUACUGACGCUCAUGCACGAAAGCGUGGGGAGCAAACAGGAUUAGAUACCCUGGUAGUCCACGCCCUAAACGAUGUCAACUAGUUGUUGGGGAUUCAUUUCCUUAGUAACGUAGCUAACGCGUGAAGUUGACCGCCU
rnacentral:rRNA from 1 species